AUUGAACGCUGGCGGCAGGCCUAACACAUGCAAGUCGAGCGGCAGCGGGAAAGUAGCUUGCUACUUUUGCCGGCGAGCGGCGGACGGGUGAGUAAUGCCUGGGAAAUUGCCCAGUCGAGGGGGAUAACAGUUGGAAACGACUGCUAAUACCGCAUACGCCCUACGGGGGAAAGCAGGGGACCUUCGGGCCUUGCGCGAUUGGAUAUGCCCAGGUGGGAUUAGCUAGUUGGUGAGGUAAUGGCUCACCAAGGCGACGAUCCCUAGCUGGUCUGAGAGGAUGAUCGGCCAAACUGGAACUGAGACACGGUCCAGACUCCUACGGGGGGCAGCGGUGGGGAAUAUUGCACAAUGGGGGAAACCCUGAUGCAGCCAUGCCGCGUGUGUGAAGAAGGCCUUCGGGUUGUAAAGCACUUUCAGCGAGGAGGAAAGGUUGAUGCCUAAUACGUAUCAACUGUGACGUUACUCGCAGAAGAAGCACCGGCUAACUCCGUGCCAGCCGCCGCCGUAAGAC
rnacentral:rRNA from 1 species